rnacentral:rRNA from 1 species
UACGUAGGGUGCGAGCGUUGUCCGGAAUUAUUGGGCGUAAAGAGCUUGUAGGUGGUUUGUCGCGUCUGCUGUGAAAAUCCGAGGCUCAACCUCGGACUUGCAGUGGGUACGAGCAGACUAGAGUGUCAGAGGGGAUGGCGGAAUUCCCGGUGUAGAGGUGAAAUUCGUAGAUAUCGGGAGGAACACCUGUGGCGAAGGCGGCCAUCUGGAGGACAACUGACGCUGAGACGCGAAAGCAUGGGGAGCAAACAGG